UGGGGAAUAUUGCACAAUGGGCGCAAGCCUGAUGCAGCCAUGCCGCGUGUAUGAAGAAGGCCUUCGGGUUGUAAAGUACUUUCAGCGGGGAGGAAGGGAGUAAAGUUAAUACCUUUGCUCAUUGACGUUACCCGCAGAAGAAGCACCGGCUAACUCCGUGCCAGCAGCCGCGGUAAUACGGAGGGUGCAAGCGUUAAUCGGAAUUACUGGGCGUAAAGCGCACGCAGGCGGUUUCUUAAGUCUGAUGUGAAAGCCCCCGGCUCAACCGGGGAUGGUCAUUGGAAACUGGAAGACUUGAGUGCAGAAGAGGGGGGGGGAAUUCCAUGUGUGGCGGUGAAAUGCGUAGAUAUAUGGAGGAACACCAGUGGCGAAGGCGGCUCUCUGGUCUGUAACUGACGCUGAGGCUCGAAAGCGUGGGGAGCAAACAGG
rnacentral:rRNA from 1 species